CCUAAGGUAGCGAAAUUCCUUGUCGGGUAAGUUCCGACCUGCACGAAUGGCGUAACGACUUCCCCACUGUCUCGACCAGGAGCUCGGCGAAAUUGCAGUACGAGUAAAGAUGCUCGUUAAGCGCAGAAGGACGAAAAGACCCCGGGACCUUUACUAUACCUUGGUAUUGGCGUUAGGCGCGGAUUGUGUAGCAUAGGCGGGAGGCUUCGAAGCAUGGGCGCCAGCCCGUGUGGAGCCGCAAGGUGAAAUACCGCUCUGUUCUCGUUUGACGUCUAACCUCGAACAGUCAUCCUGUUCAGGGACAGUGCCUGGCGGGUAGUUUAACUGGGGCGGUUGCCUCCCAAAGAGUAACGGAGGCGCUCAAAGGUCCGCUCAGCCCGGUUGGCAAUCGGGUUUCGAGUGUAAUCGCACAAGCGGGCUUGACUGCGAGAACGACGGUUCGGGCAGGGACGAAAGUCGGAGAUAGUGAUCCGGUGCCGGCGCACGGGCGCGGCAUCGCUCAACGGAUAAAAGGUACCCCGGGGAUAACAGGCUGAUCAUUCCCAAGAGUCCAUAUCGACGGGAUGGUUUGGCACCUCGAUGUCGGCUCGUCGCAUCCUGGGGCUGGAGCAGGUCCCAAGGGUUCGGCUGUUCGCCGAUUAAAGCGGCACGCGAGCUGGGUUCAGAACGUCGUGAGACAGUUUGGUCUCUAUCCUCUGCGCUCGUUGGAAUCCUGAGGAGGCCUGCCCAUAGUACGAGAGGACCUGGGUGGACGGACCUCUGGUAUGCCGGUUGUCGCGCCAGCGGCAUGGCCGGUUGGCUACGUUCGGGAGGGAUAACCGCUGAAAGCAUCUAAGCGGGAAGCCUGCUCCAAGAUUAGGAUUCCUUGACGCUCCCCGGAGCGCCUGUAGCCCGCAUGUUGAACACGUGUUCGAUAGGCCGGAGGUGGAAGUCCCGCGAGGGGUGGAGCCGACCGGUACUAACGGGCGAACGCGGCACACU
rnacentral:rRNA from 1 species